ACUGCCUAGCAACAAAAUAAGCAGCAACAGUUUCAGAAUAAAUGGGUUGAACCUUCUGGAGACUUUAUUAUGUCCCCAGCGUGUGUCAGUGGGAAAGCACUGCGUUCUGUGCCAUUAUACAGUCUUGUGUACUGAGUCACUGAGAAUUUGGUCUGACCGUCUAUUUACAUUUCUGUACUUCUGUCUGUUUGUCUCUGUCUGUCAUCUAGCUAGCUAUCACAUAUUAUAUCUCAAAUGCAGUUUCCCUUUCCACACGUCUGUCCUUCUUGGUGAAAUUUUAAUGUGUGGUGCUGUUCAUUUUGUCUUAUAAUAUCAUGUCUUUUGAAUUGAUCAAAGUAGCUUCUAAGUUUAAGAGUCAGUUGCUCAGAAGUCCACUGGUACUAAUACCUUUAUAUUU
rnacentral:lncRNA from 1 species